UACGGAGGGUGCAAGCGUUGUCCGGAUUUAUUGGGUUUAAAGGGUGCGUAGGCGGCUUAUUAAGUCAGGGGUGAAAGACUAUUGCUUAACAAUGGCAGUGCCUUUGAUACUGAUAGGCUUGAGUACAGCUGAGGCAGAUGGAACGGGUGGUGUAGCGGUGAAAUGCAUAGAUACCAUCCAGAACACCGAUUGCGAAGGCAGUCUGCUAAACUGUAACUGACGCUGAGGCACGAAAGCGUGGGGAUCGAAC
rnacentral:rRNA from 1 species